AGGGUUUGAUCAUGGCUCAGAUUGAACGCUGGCGGCAGGCUUAACACAUGCAAGUCGAGCGGUAACAGGGGUAGCUUGCUACCCGCUGACGAGCGGCGGACGGGUGAGUAAUGCUUGGGAAGCUGCCCGAUAGAGGGGGAUAACAGUUGGAAACGACUGCUAAUACCGCAUAACCUCUUUGGAGCAAAGCGGGGGAUCUUCGGACCUCGCGCUAUCGGAUGCGCCCAAGUGGGAUUAGCUGGUUGGUGAGGUAAUGGCUCACCAAGGCGACGAUCCCUAGCUGGUCUGAGAGGAUGAUCAGCCACACUGGGACUGAGACACGGCCCAGACUCCUACGGGAGGCAGCAGUGGGGAAUAUUGCACAAUGGGCGAAAGCCUGAUGCAGCCAUGCCGCGUGUAUGAAGAAGGCCUUCGGGUUGUAAAGUACUUUCAGCGAGGAGGAAAGGGUGUACGUUAAUACCGUGCAUCUGUGACGUUACUCGCAGAAGAAGCACCGGCUAACUCCGUGCCAGCAGCCGCGGUAAUACGGAGGGUGCGAGCGUUAAUCGGAAUUACUGGGCGUAAAGCGCAUGCAGGCGGCUGAUUAAGCCAGAUGUGAAAGCCCGAGGCUCAACCUCGGAAUAGCAUUUGGAACUGGUCAGCUAGAGUUCUUGAGAGGGUGGUAGAAUUUCAGGUGUAGCGGUGAAA
rnacentral:rRNA from 1 species